ensembl:misc_RNA
AAACUUGUAGGAAUUAUAGUAACAGAGUAGGUAACUUCAAAAUCUUGUGAUGAGNNUGUUGUAAUUUGCUACUGAACCAGAGAAGACAAUUCUUUUGGCUUUUUGGCCAUGUAG